UGGGGAAUUUUGGACAGUGGGCGAAAGCCUGAUCCAGCAAUGCCGCGUGUGUGAAGAAGGCCUUCGGGUUGUAAAGCACUUUUGUCCGGAAAGAAAUCCUUGGCUCUAAUACAGUCGGGGGAUGACGGUACCGGAAGAAUAAGCACCGGCUAACUACGUGCCAGCAGCCGCGGUAAUACGUAGGGUGCAAGCGUUAAUCGGAAUUACUGGGCGUAAAGCGUGCGCAGGCGGUUUGCUAAGACCGAUGUGAAAUCCCCGGGCUCAACCUGGGAACUGCAUUGGUGACUGGCAGGCUAGAGUAUGGCAGAGGGGGGUAGAAUUCCACGUGUAGCAGUGAAAUGCGUAGAGAUGUGGAGGAAUACCGAUGGCGAAGGCAGCCCCCUGGGCCAAUACCUGGACGCUCUGCACGAAAGCGUGGGGAGCAAACAGGAUUAGAUACCCUGGUAGUCCACGCCCUAAACGAUGUCAACUAGUUGUUGGGGAUUCAUUCCUUAGUAACGUAGCUAACGCGUGAAGUUGACCGCCUGGGGAGUACGGUCGCAAGAUUAAAACUUAAA
rnacentral:rRNA from 1 species